UACGUAGGGGGCAAGCGUUGUCCGGAUUUAUUGGGCGUAAAGCGCGUGUAGGUGGCCAAGUAGGUCCGCUGUGAAAACUUGAGGCUCAACCUCAAGCUGUCGGUGGAAACCCCUUGGCUAGAGUCCGGAAGAGGAGAGUGGAAUUCCUGGUGCAGCGGUGAAAUGCGCAGAUAUCAGGAAGAACACCAAUGGCGAAGGCAGCUCUCUGGGACGGUACUGACACUGAGACGCGAAAGCGUGGGGAGCGAACAGG
rnacentral:rRNA from 1 species